rnacentral:snRNA from 1 species
UGCUCACUUCAGCAGCACAUAUACAAAAUAGGAAUGAUAUAGAAAAGAUUAGAAUGGUCCCUUCACAAGGAUAACACACAAAUUCUUGAAGCAUUCUAUAUUUUA